CCAAUAGCGUAUAUUAAAGUUGUUGCAGUUAAAAAGCUCGUAGUUGAAUUUCGGGGUCAAUUUAUCGGCCGUGCCUAUGGUACGUACUGGUAUUGUUGAUUCCUCUCUUCUGAGGAGCCGCGAUGUCAUUAACUUGGUGUCGCGGGGAAUCAGGACUGUUACUUUGAAAAAAUUAGAGUGUUUAAAGCAGGCUAACGCUUGAAUACAUUAGCAUGGAAUAAUGAAAUAGGACGUUUGAUUCUAUUUUGUUGGUUUCUAGGGUCGACGUAAUGAUUAAUAGGGAUAGUUGGGGGCAUUAGUAUUCAAUUGUCAGAGGUGAAAUUCUUGGAUUUAUUGAAGACUAACUACUGCGAAAGCAUUUGCCAAGGAUGUUUUCAUUAAUCAAGAACGAAAGUUAGGGGAUCGAAGACGAUCAGAUACCGUCGUAGUCUUAACCAUAAACUACGCCGACUAGGGAUCGGAUGAUAAUUUUUUAAUGACUCAUUCGGCGCCUUACG
rnacentral:rRNA from 1 species